rnacentral:rRNA from 1 species
GUGCCAGCCGCUGCGGUAAUACGGAGGGUGCAAGCGUUAAUCGGAAUUACUGGGCGUAAAGCGCACGCAGGCGGUCUGUCAAGUCGGAUGUGAAAUCCCCGGGCUCAACCCGGGAACUGCAUUCGAAACUGGCAGGCUGGAGUCUCGUAGAGGGGGGGUAGAAUUCCAGGUGUAGCGGUGAAAUGCGUAGAGAUCUGGAGGAAUACCGGUGGCGAAGGCGGCCCCCUGGACGAAGACUGACGCUCAGGUGCGAAAGCGUGGGGAGCAAACAGGAUUAGAUACCCUGGUAGUCCACGCCGUAAACGAUGUCUAUUUGGAGGUUGUGCCCUUGAGGCGUGGCUUCCGGAGCUAACGCGUUAAAUAGACCGCCUGGGGAGUACGGCCGCAAGGUUAAAACUCAAAUGAAUUGACGGGGCCCGCACAAGCGGUGGAGCAUGUGGUUUAAUUCGAUGCAACGCGAAGAACCUUACCUGUCUUGACAUCCACAGAACUUGGCAGAGAUGCCUUGGUGCCUUCGGGAACUGGUAGAGAC